rnacentral:lncRNA from 1 species
AGAACUAGAACAGGAAAGUCAUGGCAGAACACGGCAGAGAAAGGAUUGCUUUUAAUGCCACUCGGUUGGUAUGGGCCUAAGUGAAGCCUCAGAGCACAGCCCAUCGGAUAAUCAGGUCACAAAAGAGACCCGCCCUCUCAGCCCAAGGUUUGGAGGUUGGAGGCUGCCCUCUGAGGACCUUCUGACGCCAAGGGAUCAUUCCUUUGAUGCUGCCUCUCCCUGGCCCUGGUGA